rnacentral:rRNA from 1 species
AGCGAACGCUGGCGGCAGGCCUAACACAUGCAAGUCGAACGAACUCUUCGGAGUUAGUGGCGGAAGGGUGAGUAACACGUGGGAACGUGCCUUUUGGUUCGGAAUAACUCAGGGAAACUUGUGCUAAUACCGAAUGUGCCCUUCGGGGGAAAGAUUUAUCGCCAUUAGAGCGGCCCGCGUCUGAUUAGCUAGUUGGUGAGGUAACGGCUCACCAAGGCGACGAUCAGUAGCUGGUCUGAGAGGAUGACCAGCCACACUGGGACUGAGACACGGCCCAGACUCCUACGGGAGGCAGCAGUGGGGAAUCUUGCGCAAUGGGCGAAAGCCUGACGCAGCCAUGCCGCGUGAAUGAUGAAGGUCUUAGGAUUGUAAAAUUCUUUCACCGGGGACGAUAAUGACGGUACCCGGAGAAGAAGCCCCGGCUAACUUCGUG